CCUACGGGUGGCUGCAGUGGGGAAUCUUGCGCAAUGGGCGAAAGCCUGACGCAGCGACGCCGCGUGGGUGAUGAAGGCCUUCGGGUUGUAAAGCCCUGUGGGGAGGGACGAAUAAGGGCGACCCAAUACGUCGCCAGAUGACGGUACCUCCUUAGCAAGCACCGGCUAACUCUGUGCCAGCAGCCGCGGUAAGACAGAGGGUGCAAACGUUGUUCGGAAUUACUGGGCGUAAAGCGCGUGUAGGCGGUUAUGCAAGUCGGGUGUGAAAGCCCGGA
rnacentral:rRNA from 1 species